GACGAACGCUGGCGGCGUGCCUAAUACAUGCAAGUUGAGCGCUGAAGGUUGGUACUUGUACCGACUGGAUGAGCAGCGAACGGGUGAGUAACGCGUGGGGAAUCUGCCUUUGAGCGGGGGACAACAUUUGGAAACGAAUGCUAAUACCGCAUAAAAACUUUAAACACAAGUUUUAAGUUUGAAAGAUGCAAUUGCAUCACUCAAAGAUGAUCCCGCGUUGUAUUAGCUAGUCGGUGAGGUAAAGGCUCACCAAGGCGAUGAUACAUAGCCGACCUGAGAGGGUGAUCGGCCACAUUGGGACUGAGACACGGCCCAAACUCCUACGGGAGGCAGCAGUAGGGAAUCUUCGGCAAUGGACGAAAGGCUGACCGAGCAACGCCGCGGGAGGGAAGAAGGGUUUCGGAUCGUAAAACUCUGUUGGUAGAGAAGAACGUUGGUGAGAGUGGAAAGCUCAUCAAGUGACGGUAACUACCCAGAAAGGGACGGCUAACUACGUG
rnacentral:rRNA from 1 species